AUCCACAGAAGCCGGAAAGAGAUUCUGGUGUGCCUUCGGGGAACUGUGAGACAGGUGCUGCAUGGCUGUCGUCAGCUCGUGUUGUGAAAUGUUGGGUUAAGUCCCGCAACGGAGCGCAACCCUUAUCCUUGUUUGCCAGCGAGUCAUGUCGGGAACUCCAGGGAGACUGCCGGUGAUAAACCGGAGGAAGGUGGGGACGACGUCAAGUCAUCAUGGCCCUUACGAGUAGGGCUACACACGUGCUACAAUGGCAUAUACAGAGGGCAGCGAGGCAGCGAUGUGGAGCGAAUCCCAGAAAGUAUGUCGUAGUCCGGAUUGGAGUCUGCAACUCGACUCCAUGAAGUCGGAAUCGCUAGUAAUCGUAGAUCAGAAUGCUACGGUGAAUACGUNCCCGGGCCUUGUACACACCGCCCUGUCACACCAUGGGAGUGGGCUGCACCAGAAGUAGAUAGCUUUAUCUUCGGGAGGGCGUUUAUCCACGGU
rnacentral:rRNA from 1 species